rnacentral:lncRNA from 1 species
UGUUUCGAUCUUCCACCGUACCGACUUCCAGCCGCUCGAAGGCGAGGUCACAAGGCGUCAUCCACUCUGUUGCUUCCUGGUCGCUGCUACGCCGCCUUCACCGUUCGACUCUCGCGUCGCUGCCCCCAUCGCUGCAUCGCGAGAAGAGCCUACCUCUGGUGGUGUCGUUGUCGCCAGCCGCCAUGGCCAGAUGUGGACCGGGAUCGUACGUCUUCAACGCCGCCGAAGUAUCUGCCAGACGGCUGCCAGCGAUCACAAAUCAUUGUUGCCCCGGUGGACGAAGACGCAGCUGCCUCUUUCAAUGAAUUGUUGGUCUUUUUUUAUGCUAAGGAUGGCUUCAGUAGCCAUACCAACAUAUUGGCUUCAGGUGUAGCCGUGCAGCAAUGCCACAUCUUCCUUCGAAGAGAACCAUCCAAAUUGUCAGGUUAG